CUGGUAAAUCCAUAUUUACGAAUUCAUCUCCAAGUCCAGUUGCUCCUUCUUGUGGGUCCGUCUCAUCUGGGACAUCGUUAGGGGCGUCACCUCAGCCUUCCGGACAGGGAAUUGGUCUUCGCCUAGCUGUUUGGACAGUGUUCCAAAUUUGGAGGAAGUGGGGACAGUCUCGUCCCAGUACCACAGGGUAAGGCAACUGCUCAACCACUCUGACAGUUGAACGGUAGGUCCCCUGUUCCGUAGAGAUGCUAAUUUCUACCGUCGGAUAGACCUUGUGAAUGCAAGUAAUGGGUAUCCCCUCUGUUCCCCGGAUCUCCAGUUCUCCAGGAAGUAUUGUAGGGGUCACCAGGGUCACAGUACUGCCAGAGUCCAACAAGGCCUCGACAGGUUCUCCCCCAUCUCGAUUUUCAUAAGAUGGGGAUCCUCGCGGGUUGGGACCUGUGCUGUAAGGUAGUUACACUUGGCUUCAUCUCUGGGGUCUACCUGCAUGGGUUCGGACAGGCCGGGGCAAUGGCUGACUAAAUGCCCUUCUUCCUGACAAUUAAAACAUCGGGUUUCUUUCCAUGGUCGGGGCCUUGAGUCUGAUCUGUCCCUAAGGGGUUUCUUAAACUGUGAAGGCCCUCGAUAAUCACUGUACUUUAUCGGCCGAUACUUCAUUUCGGUUUCCAGACUCUUGGGGCUUCUUCUCUCCUCUUUUCGAAAGUCCCCCUUUUCCUCCCUAAUCAGGGGCUCUGUAGCAUGGUGUCUGUCCACUAAGCCCACUGCCUGAUCUAGUGUCUGGGGAUCCCCACCACUUUCCUUCUCAGAUGAACAGGUAGACUCCUCACAAAGUGAUCCAACACCACCCUUUCUUCCACCUGUCCUGGGUUUAAUUCUUCUGGCUGGAGCCAUUUCUUUGCCAGAUGUAUGAGGUCAAACAUCUGAGACCUCGUAGGCUUGUCCAUUUGGUAUCUCCAAUUGUGAAACCGGACCGCCCGUAUUGCCAUGGUUACCCCUAGUCUUGCCAAAAUCUCCUUUUUCAGAGUCUCAUAAUUCUCUGCAUCUUCUUCAUAAUAGGCCUUUUGGGCUUCUCCAAUUAAAUAAGGCGCUACUCUCCCGGCCCAUUGCUCCUUGGGCCAUGCAUUUCGAGAUGCAGUUCUUUCAAAUAUGGUUAAAUAAGUCUCCACAUCAUCAAGUUCUGUCAUCUUUUGUAGCCCAAUUUGUUCAGCCUGAACAGUGUCUCUCCCUGUUACUGGGGUCUGCCUGAAUUCUUCCCCUAAUCUUUGCAAUUCUUCUCGUACUAAUUUCUGCCCCUCUAUAAUUUGUUCGUUAGUUUUGGUUUGAAUUUGAUUUGCCUCCCGUUGAGCUUGGAUAGCUUCUUGCUGUCCUUUUAAAGCCUGAAACUGGGCGAGGGUGGCCUGGGACAAUUGCUGUAUUAGCUGUUCCAUUGUUUUUCUCCACACACACAAAGCGAAACCCACACAGCGAGUGCCCGCAUCCUCCACCAAUUGUGGUGUCGCCAGGGGAAAACAGGUGUAAAAGAGAUGUAACUCACACCACACUGAUCUUCUUUGUCCUUCGUCCGUAUGUUUCCCAAGUCCGUUCCGUAAUCCGUUGCCAGUAUCCUUAAACGAUCCAAAUUUCCGAGCCCGUAUGUCCAAACUAAAGGACACUCCCAAAGGAAAGAAAAAUGUUUUAUUUCUGUAGUUCUCUGUAGGAUAUUGCUUUGAACAUCAUAAACUACAGAGUGCUUCCAGGAACAAAAUACCAGCAAGAAUGAAACUGGACUUGUAAUGUCUAGGAUGCACUAGAAGCUGGAAACCUGAAAUGGCUCUAGAGAAGGUGAUCUCUGUGCACUUUGGUACCCAAAGUGAUUGUGAGCAAAUUGAGUCUCUAGAUUACUUUGUAAAGAGGAAAUGAAUGAUAUUGUUGUGUACUGAUAUGGAUGUGUAGAUUGGCAUCAUGAGGAACAAAUGAAAACAAACAUUGUUACUUUAAAACUCAGGUUACUCUGAUCAGGUAGGGAGCCAGAUAAUUCUGUCAGCUCUCGAGUCUGGCACUUCCUUUUUCAGAACAGCUAAACUCAAGUGUCAGGCACUGUACUUCUAAGGUCAACUGCAAAGGCAGAUUUUAGGGAAGAGGAAAAGAAAGCUGAUAGAUUCAUUAUUGAAGAACUGAAACUUACAAGUGAGCAGUAUAUGAAGUUUUAAAAGAAUGUUUGGAAGGAGGUCAAAGUCCAAUCUCAUCACGUCUGCCCGUGUUUAAAUCUCAUAUUUAUAUCUUGCUUGUGUGUUUUGUUUCACAUGAUGCGUGCAAGUCUUCACCUGUUCGAAGGGACCCCAAACUCCAGAGCAAGCCGCUGAACUCUACCCCGCAUCUGACGCUGAAUUUCUCCCAGUGUCAUCAUUCCUGAGAACUGCAAUCUCCUGUCUCUCCUACAUGUCUGCUCACUAUUCCCGUUUUUCCAUUAUUCCAGCCUCUGUCUACCUCUAUCCAGCUACACCAGUUGGCUCACACCUCCUAGAGCUGCCCAAUCCAUCUGUCUGAGGCUCUUCUCCUAACAUGACACGUCAGGUCAGCCACACCAGUCCAGCCUUUCCCAACCUUUCUCCACACCACGGACAACAGCCUACUCCCCCUGUGGCCUCACUGCCCUCUCCUUCUUCCUCAUGCCAUCCUGCUGACCACAGCACCUCCACAAGCACAGCACACCCGGGUCCAGCUUCUGUGAAUCCCUUCUUCCCCUCCGCCGUCCCCUUCUGCCCCACUGGUUCCCUUCUCCUUUCUUCUCUUUUCAUCUGUCUGAAGACAACAAUUUCAUGAAGAAGCUCACAGGUGGAGCUGUUGACCAUCAGCUCCUCAGCCAAUGCAAGUCUGUGAUUUACCAAGAAAGCAGAGUUUGGAUCUGAAAGAGGAGCAGUUAAAUACCUCAUACAGUAUAAGCAGGGUAUUAGAUUAGUGGAGACAAUGCCAGACUAUUCGUGGCAGAGUUUGAUGUGAAGUUAGAGAGCUGCAAUCAGGAGUCGGAUGUGAAGUGACAACAAUCGAAGAGAGUAUGUUGAUCAGGAAGCAAAAAAGGUGUGAGCAGCUUACUGAGUUGUCCUAGCACAAUAAGCACUAGGAUACAUUGGACUUAAGGGAAUUGGAGUUGAAUGUUCUCAAUAAAAUCCAAGACCUGAACCAACAACACUACAUUAUCAUUAGAGUUCCCUCAUUAAUUUCUUUCAAUAUGCACAUCUGUGAGUGUGGCAUAAAUGUGUAGUGUUAUGGCUCUCUGCAUUUUGACAGGUCCAUGACAGCUGUGUGUCUCACCAGUGUGAUAAAAUGAUGCUUAAUAACAUUUUAAAGCAAAAAGUAUUCAUUCCCUCAGUCUACAGAUAUAUGAACAGUUAAUGAACAGGCCUCCAUUACAAAAUUAACUAUUGAAAUGUUGUUGCAUUAUGUACGUUUAGAAAACGUUUUCUUAAUGGUUAUAAAUGUCACACUUAUUAACAGCAUCUGUUGUUGAUUGCUGUUGAUUUAGCAGCAGGUUGGAAGUCCAGAGCCAAGCUGGAACCUUUCUGCAGCCCUGCCACAGGGAAGAUCGUGCUGACAGCUGUGGACUCAGGGAAGAGUGAGCAUGUGAGCCUCAUCAAGACCUCUUUCACUGGGGCUCAUGCAUGGACUUGCCCAACAGGUGUUGGCUGUGCAGUUUCUCUCCAUGGUAAAAACAAACACUGCUGUUUUUCUCAGUAUCACCUCAUAGCAUCAUAUUUAUUUUAUAUUAAGAUAUGCUGUUUCUAUUCUUAUCAAGUCAUCUUCAAAAUCUUCGAAUCAAUAAUUAUUUGCCGUGGAAAAUUGUCUGUAGAAACAUGUCUCGUCCAAACAGGUACAUUUCAUUAUUGCCAUUAAUGCCUUAUUUCUUACUUUCUGAUCUCACGUUAACUCUUUUAUCUCUCAACUUACCAAGAUUACAGGUAAAAAAUGCAUCCCCCGUCACCUGCACUUUAGAUCGAAGGCUGUUACAUUGUCUGGAUCACUUGUGCUCCUCCUUCCUUCACCACUCUACCGAGUGAGACCUGGGAGCACCGGUAUGUGCUGAGCAUGUUUCUGCUCAAUGCAGCUGUGUUUUAGGUUGGAGUCAGUGUUUUUACAGUUUUGAGGCUCGAGGGAACAGACUACUGUUGCAGCAGAUUCACCUGGACCCUUACGAAAUGCCUUGACGAUUAAAACAUUUGCUCCCAAAAGAGAAGGUUCAGAAUGAGGUGGUGGUAUUAGUUAAGUGCUGACUUCCAAAUUAGCAAGAUGGGUGGCCACCUCUUGUUUGUAAUCUUUUUUUGUUUAUGCUCUCUUUCAGACCACCCAAGCUUUCAGAUUCCAGUCCAACGGUGCUCAAGUGCGAACAAUAUGUCCGUGCUUUUUUGUCCAGAGGAGACGUCUCUCUGCCUGGAGUGUGCUCGGAAGUCACUCCCCUUGUCAACGGUGUGUGCUCGAUACUCGUCGUUCCCUCUCGUUGAGGCGUGUUGAGUAAGUGUUUCAGGCCCCAGUCUGACAGCAUCUCCACACUCCAAAACAGUGAGGUGUGGACAACAAUGACAGGGGGGAACAAACAGAUGGCAACACUAGAGAGCAGCCCCUUCAAGACCCUGUCCUGCAGGGAAACCUUCCCCCCAGGACUGGUGUCUGUGGAGUUGUGUCCCUGGAGUGUACUUGUGUGAGCCAUCUGGAGCUGCGUGGCUGUCCCAACCCUCUGUUUCUCCCUCUGUGGGUCUGGCAGGCCAAUGCGUGCUUCUGUGAAAUAUCCUACGUGAGUUGCAAUGUCGGGUUUUCCAGCUGCAGCGUGCUUGAGCUCCACCUCAUCGCUUAAGCAGCCAGUGAACAAAUGUGUAGCAGCAGUGUGUGCUUUCACUACGUGUACACUAUAUAGUGUGUCUCCCCAUCGCACACCAUGUGUGUUGUAGACAAUGAGCCCUCUCUCAUGGUCUGUCAGGGAGCCUGCCUGCCCUGUCUGGCUGUCCGUCAGGCUCCCUCGAAGUGCUCUCAGGCUCAGUGUGAGGACGAGGCACAGAGCAAGAGUGGGCAGGAUCAGGCUGGGAUUGCACAGGGGUCGUAAGGUCGCAGUGAUCAGGUUAGGGAGGCAGACAGAGAGAGAGCCACCAUCCCAGAGACAGUCUUCCACCAGGUCCUGCUCCAGACCCCACUGUUGCCAGCCAUGGAGGGCAGACAGGAUCCAGACCAACAGGCAACAUAGCAACCCAGGAAAGUGUACCACAGACUCUCUGUCUCCAUCCACGUGCCCUUUUCCUUUCUUUCUCCUAUUGUGAUUACAGCCUUUUGUCCAAUCUUUCUCCUGUAUCGUGCCAUGGCCUCCCUGUUUUCUUGUCUCUCUCUCUUCUUGUCCCUCCAGCCAUGGGAGGGGCCAGAGCAGCCUGCAGACUGUCUCUACAGUGAUGAGGGGUGUGGUCAGAACCAGUAUGGCCCCGUAGGUGUGGCCAAGGAAGAGCAGGAAGCGCAGGGCGAUGAUGUCACCGGACACAGGAAAACGUGGCAUCCACUGGUCAGCCAGCCAGAGCAAAGCCAAGAAGGCUGAAGAGAGAGAAAGGGGAGGCACUGCAGGUGUUAGCACACAGAUAAGGGGAAAUGCCACAAUUCACAAACACAUGGGGGUUAGAAAGUCAUCACCGUGAGCAUGAUUCUUUCAGAUUGUGUGUUUCCAGAGCUCAUGGCUGUGAACCCCGUGACCACAGGGGAGAAGGAGGACGUGUGGGUGACUCCUUCAGUCCAGCCUCCUUCCUACACAUCACAGGCCUCACGGCCACAGGGCGUGUCCCUCAGCGAUAGCACUGCCAGCCUGCAAGCACCUAGGAGGCCACAGGAGGGCGCUGUGUUGCCAAGGCCUAAGAGAGCCCUGGACGACUGGUCCCAACCUUGUCCUCGGCCGGGUUCUGCUUAUUGUGCGCCACCGCUGGGGAGUCCCAGUGACUGAUAGUGUAGCAACUUUCAAUAAGCACACGUAAGUGAACCUCGGCACUCUUUACUGUAACCUACUGAACAGUUAGAAACGAGCUCUCCGGCGGCAGUGCAGCGUGCUUGCCUACACUCACUUCACUAGCAAAAGACAACCGGCAGAUCUGGAUCUGACAUCAAGCAACACUUAAUCUUUAUGUUACAAUAACCUACAACAGCCAGCAAAGUGAUUUGACCCUGGUUUGAACUCGCGCCACCUGGAUUAUUCAACUCAACACUCAGAUGGGUGAGGGGAUGUGUCGUUACCAGCUGAGCUACAGGAACUUGUCACAGUUCAGUUUGAGUAUGGCAGGAAAAACGCCACCGUCGUUCAUUUUAGAUAAUUAACCUUAACUCAAGUAUGUCUUGCACUUUAGCAAUAGUAUUUUUUUUGUUCUCAUACAGAAAUAAAGACACAGAAGUGUUUUUCAGCAUGCGCUCAGCUUAUCGAUUAGUGUUCAAAAUGACCGAUUUGGAAACAUCAGCUCAACUGCAGGGUUUUCCCCCACCCCCCCCCCGAGUCCGAUUCGAUCAGAUCUCAGAAUGCAGGCUCGGCCCGGGUGGGUACUGUACUUAUGUAACGGAUGAAGCGAGUCUCCUCCUGUAAGCAUGGAACAUUGGGAACCUUUGGGAUGAAAAGAGCUACAUAAAAGGCUUUUUUCCUAAAAAAAAAACGUUGUGGUGCCAGCAAGGCAAAAGCUGUGUUGCGCAGUAAGGAAUUGAAAUUCAAGUCGCCACGCAGUUUCCAGGCCUGCGAAGAACUGUUUGGAAAAAUUGAAAAGCACUCUGCCGCUCCAGUAUUUCACGGCUCACAUCAUCCCUGUCAGUUUGUUUUGUUUGAAGCUGAAACAGCCGAGCUGGAAAAGCAGGCACCUUUUGUCUCCUGUUCACAGGUGUUAUUCUGUGAUACAAGUACAAGGAAAGAAAGGCACGGGUUCCAUUCACAUCGCCCUCUUUAGUCAGGCAGCUAGUUUUGUCCUUUUGGCAUUUAUUUAAUCUCUGCCGUUUUUUUCAUGACAUGUGAAAAUGGUACAAAGGUACACAUCUCAUCCCUGUAUGCAGAUAAGAGAUUAUCAGAUAUUCUGAGCCCAGUGUGAGAGAAGACAUCAUAGACCAUUACUAUCUGAGCUGCUUGUCAUUCUUACUAUACACUUAUCACACCCAAGCAAGUUUCAGUACUCCAAACUGCUUUGUUUCUUUGUUCUGCUUUGCUCAUCACAUAUCAUGUUCUUAGUGGUACCCAACUGGUUUGGAACUGCAAGCUUUUUAACAACGCAUCUUACUGCUGCAGCCCCAGCUCUACACAGAGAGUGAGGGCCUGGAGACACACUGAUCUGUGAGAGCCACUUGGCAUUUAUCUUGCUGAAAGCUUUAUCACAGUGCUGUACAAGAGGGUGAGUACUGAUUGGAAUAGCAGUGUGUCGCUCGCUGAUGUCACAGCAUGAAGCUGUGGAAACCCUGGCUAGCACAAACUUAGAGGCUCUUGGUUAACCGUGUACCAUCAUCGAUCAUAGUAACCUAAUAUAACAUGGCCCCAGGCUCAAACUAGUAACACCUUCACCGAACAUCUCCAAUACUGCUCAUGGUUUCCCCACAGUCGUCUACCGACCAAGCAGGUCGCCUGGCCAAACAAAUGUGUGAACGCUGACAAAACGUUACAAGAAUCCAUGUUGGAAAAACUGCUUUGCAGUGAAACACCUCAAGAUAAUUCGUGAGCCAGCAGCAUCUACGGUACAUAAUCACACAGCUGUCAAGCCUCACCCGUUGGUACCACAUCCACAUUUUGGUCUGAAAAUCUCACUUAUUUGCCUCAAGUCUAGUCUGAUUAAAGGAAAUGAAGUAAUAAACAUAAAAUUGGGCAAUUACCAUAGAGACUCGCCAUUCCUUUAAUUAACCAGUUUUUUUUUUCCUGUGUGAGGUAAAUAUAAAGCUGAAUCAUCGGGUCACAGACAGUAAUUGUGUGUCUUUCGUUGCUCGUGACAGCUGCCGAGAGCCAUCAUGUGUGAAGAAUCAUCAGGGGAAGGGAAGCCACUUCAUUAACAACGUGAAAAUUUUUGUUUUUGCCUCAAACGAGUGAAAAAUAAUAAACAGCACCUCAGUAGCAAGUGGAACAGAAAUAAUUGUUUUAAUUGAGCAUUAAAAUGAAAACAUACAAUUGACCCCAGAAGUGAAUAAUUUUAUGGUGACCUCUACAUAUAUUUCCUGGACUGAGGCUCAGCCACACCAGGGAUGGCGACACCAAGCCUGGAACAAAUGACCCAGCCUCCUCCCUGAAAAUGACACUAAUCGAGUCGUUCAGGGGUCCCAUUUUUUCUACUUUUCAGGUAAAUCAGAAUGGAUCCCGAAACACUGAGAUCUCAAACAUCGCUCUGCUAGCGCCCGAUAGAUCUGAUCAAGAGUUGUGUCUGCAUUAAACUUUGGUUCCUUUUCCUAAAAAAUGCAGACUGAAAAAUCGAUGGUCUGGACUGGUGAUUUUGCAUUUGACUCAAAGGAAUCUGAAUUUCUGGAAAAGAAGGACUGAAUUGACCUGUUUAAAACCCUCAUUUAUGUUUUUUGAUGUUGAAGGACUCUGAUAAAGGGGGCAAAAAGUGGCCUUCGUUUAAUGUUUCAUUUUCAGCCCUUUUCAGUGGUGAUUUUAAAGGGUGACUGCAGUAAGAGUUCAAGAUGAUCAUCUCAUGUAAUAUGCGUGUGUGCAAUAAGAUUAUAGGCUUGGAUAAGACGUGAACUAAGAGGAUGUGUCUCACAGAGACUAAAUGAAAAAAAAAAACAGACCAGAUAGCUCCUGUGACAUGUCUUUGUGGCCUUUUCGUAUAUUGACCUUCAGUGUUUCAACCCUUGCACAUACUGUAGCUGUAUUUGGGUAAGUAAGAGUGUCAAUUCCCCACAAAAGUCCCUUCAAACUGGACAGCAGUGGAAGAUUCAGUGUAACAGAUUGGUCUUGCAGAUCCACAGCAGAAAUGCCUUUCUAGAUCUGGCUAAUCCUGGGAGUCAUUUCUUUUUUAUGUGCAUAGUAGAAACCUGGAGAAUACCUGGUCCUCUUCUUGGGGUAAUUAUUUUGUUUUUUCUUGAACAUGCAAGCUUUUGCAGUUGAACACUUGUGCAUCGCACUUAAAGUUCUUAUUUAUAGUGCCAGAUUUCCCAUUAGGCUCUGUUGGCACAGUACCUAGGGCCUACGAAGGAGGAAAACACUAUAUGAAAUAACAAGCUUGCGAUCGACUCUAGGUGCUCCAAAUCAAUAAUCAUACGCUAUCUAGCGGCUGUUCUAGAAACUAGAAGUAUCGAAGUGAUUGUCGCUUGGCUUGCUCCAUCAAUCAAGUGGUUUAGCACCAGAAUAGUUUAAAAUGCAGCAUGUCAAUCAACGUAAUUCAAUUGGUGUUUACCCUUCUUUUUGCACAUUUCGGAGUGAAAGUGCCUAUGGCCUACGACCGGUCCUGCUUAUUUGUGAGAGUCAUGCACCCUUUAGAUAAAUAUUAACCACCUGUCCUUGUGUGCCUACUGUGCUUUGGAAUGUAGAUCCACAGAUUGUUUGAUACACAGGCUUUUACAGAGAGUAAGAGAAGCACUAGAGAAUACGUCAUUUAUUUUCGUUCGUUCGUGACACAAAAUUAAUAUCACUGUGAUGCAAAUUUUAAUUUCAGUAACUGCAAUGCCUCAGGGGGGUUCAGAGAGGAAAUGUGUAUUUCUGAACUCCACAUUUUAAUCACAAACCUUCACAGUAUGAACUAAGGAACCUGUAAUGUCCAGCACCUGGUUCUCCAGGCAGGAAAACCUCAGAAUUUCCCCAAACCCCUCUUCAGUUGCAGUCUUAUUUGCAUCCCUGCAAUUUCAAGACAUGAAACAGAAACUCUGGCUCUCUCACUUCGACUGUGGUACUUUUUUUUUAGAAAAUGAUGUUUUUUCAUGGUUUUUUGGUACAAAGAAUUUUUUUCGGAAAUGCUUGAGGAGACACAUCAGCAGAAAUUAUCUGCUGACCCCUGGUUAGAACAGUUUAGCACCAGAGAUGACUAAUUAUGCUCUUGCAGCCUUCUUACGUUUUACAUUUAUUGCUAUUAAGCCAACCCCAUAUAUUUUGAAGCUAGCUGGUGACACUGCAAGUGCAUUUGAUAAAAAAUGUAGAUAUGCGACAGCAGAUUUUAUAUGGAGAAUAAAAAACGAGUACCUUCUCUGAUAGUCAGAGAAAGUUAUUUUCCUCUACAUAUAAACAAGUACAUCUUUAAAGUAUUUAUAAAAAAUUUGAUUUAUUUUUGUGUUCAAUAAAGGUGGUUUAAAAAACAACUGAAAUGUUUAGGUUAUUUUUUCAAAUAUUGUACUGGAUCGUACCAAAUGUAGUCUAACAGCUGUGCAUUAAAGAUAAGAUAUACUCAUGUUUGGUCAGUGUUUUAUAGUUUACUUCUGCUGCGCUUCAAAUUCAAAUAACUUUGUGCCAGGUUUGAAUACAAUGCAUAGGACAACAUUAAUUUGUGGUGGA